UCACAAAUCCUCAUAAAGAGGUUAGAACGCCAACACAGAGACAGAGGAAGGGGACGGACAUCCGGCCUAAAUAAGUGAAAUCCAGCAGAUUUUCCGUCGGCAAUGGAGCAUUCCCGGAAGUGGAACGUCAAGGAUAUAGAGUAGGCAAUGUGAGACU